rnacentral:misc_RNA from 1 species
AACGCACAUUGCGCCCCUUGGUAUUCCGAGGGGCAUGCCUGUCCGAGCGUCAUUUCAACCCUCAAGCUCUGCUUGGUAUUGGGCUACGCCAUCGCGGCAAGCCUUAAAAUUAGUGGCGGUGCCGUCUCGGCUCUAAGCGUAGUAACAAUCUCUCGCUCUGGAGACCUGGCGGUGCUUGCCAGACAACCACCAAUUUUUUUUAUGGUUGACCUCGGAUCAGGUAGGGAUACCCGCUGAACUUAA